CACUCAGCUAGGAGGACAGAAGUUACAAUCAUGGAAAUGAUAUCCCAUCACUUUUGUUGUAUUCUAUUGGUUUGAAUCUUUCUAGCAAUGUGGCCAGACUUCUUACAAAACAGCUCCAAGAGGGAACAUUGCAAAUGGCAAAGAAGGAAGCUGGAGAUCUCUGAAGGCCAACCUUGGAAGUCACACAGCAUCACUUCUAGCACAUUUUGUUGGUUAAAAUGUGAAUAUAAAACCUCCAUGAGUCCUAGCAAGUCACUGAAUGUGUGGAUGAUCUCAGAGACCCUUGAAACAGUGACCAUCUCUCAGAAACAAGCUACCACAAAUGGGUGCUCCUAAGGCCCAUAAUGGGAAUCAGGAUUCCCUUUGGAGGCCAGAUGC
rnacentral:lncRNA from 1 species